UACAUGGGGUGCAAACGUUGCUCGGAAUUAUUGGGCGUAAAGCGCACGUAGGCGGUCCGUUAAGUCGGAUGUGAAAGCCCCCGGCUCAACCGGGGAAGUGCAUCCGAAACUGGCAGGCUAGAGUACGAAAGAGGGUCGCGGAAUUCCCGGUGUAGAGGUGAAAUUCGUAGAUAUCGGGGAGGAACACCGGUGGCGAAGGCGGCGACCUGGGUCGAUACUGACGCUGAGGCACGAAAGCGUGGGGAGCAAACAGG
rnacentral:rRNA from 1 species